AUACGGAGGGUCCAAGCGUUAUCCGGAAUCAUUGGGUUUAAAGGGUUCGUAGGCGGGUCAAUAAGUCAGAGGUGAAAUCUUGCAGCUUAACUGUAAAAUUGCCUUUGAAACUGUUGACCUUGAAUUACUGUGAAGUGGUUAGAAUAUGUAGUGUAGCGGUGAAAUGCUUAGAGAUUACAUAGAAUACCGAUUGCGAAGGCAGAUCACUAACAGUAUAUUGACGCUGAUGAACGAAAGCGUGGGUAGCGAACGGGAUUAGAAACCCUAGUAGUCC
rnacentral:rRNA from 1 species